GCAUAUCUAUAAGCGGAGGAAAAGAAACCAACAGGGAUUGCCCUAGUAACGGCGAGUGAAGCGGCAACAGCUCAAAUUUGAAAUCUGGCUUCGGCCCGAGUUGUAAUUUGCAGAGGAAGCUUUGGGCGCGGCACCGACUGAGUCCCCUGGAACGGGGCGCCAAAGAGGGUGAGAGCCCCGUAGAGUCGGACGCUAAGCCUGUGUAAAGCUCCUUCGACGAGUCGAGUAGUUUGGGAAUGCUGCUCAAAAUGGGAGGUAAAUUUCUUCUAAAGCUAAAUACCGGCCAGAGACCGAUAGCGCACAAGUAGAGUGAUCGAAAGAUGAAAAGCACUUUGAAAAGAGGGUUAAAUAGCACGUGAAAUUGUUGAAAGGGAAGCGCUUGUGACCAGACUUGCGCCUGGCUGAUCAUCCGGUGUUCUCACCGGUGCACUCUGCCAGGCUCAGGCCAGCAUCGGUUCUCGCGGGGGGAUAAAGGCCCUGGGAACGUAGCUCCUCCGGGAGUGUUAUAGCCCAGGGUGCAAUGCCCUCGCGGGGACCGAGGUUCGCGCAUCUGCAAGGAUGCUGGCGUAAUGGUCAUCAGCGACCCGUCUUGAAACACGGACCAAGGAGUCAAGGUUUUGCGCGAGUGUUUGGGUGUAAAACCCGCACGCGUAAUGAAAGUGAACGUAGGUGAGAGCUUCGGCGCAUCAUCGACCGAUCCUGAUGUUUUCGGAUGGAUUUGAGUAGGAGCGUUAAGCCUUGGACCCGAAAGAUGGUGAACUAUGCUUGGAUAGGGUGAAGCCAGAGGAAACUCUGGUGGAGGCUCGCAGCGGUUCUGACGUGCAAAUCGAUCGUCAAAUCUGAGCAUGGGGGCGAAAGACUAAUCGAMCCAUCUAGUAGCUGGUUACCGCCGAAG
rnacentral:rRNA from 1 species